rnacentral:rRNA from 1 species
AUUGAACGCUGGCGGCAUGCUCUACACAUGCAAGUCGAACGGUAACAGGCCGCAAGGUGCUGACGAGUGGCGAACGGGUGAGUAAUGCAUCGGAACGUGCCCAGUCGUGGAGGAUAACUACUCGAAAGAGUAGCUAAUACCGCAUACGAUCUAUGGAUGAAAGCGGGGGACCGUAAGGCCUCGCGCGAUUGGAGCGGCCGAUGUCAGAUUAGGUAGUUGGUGGGGUAAAGGCUCACCAAGCCAACGAUCUGUAGCUGGUCUGAGAGGACGACCAGCCACACUGGGACUGAGACACGGCCCAGACUCCUACGGGAGGCAGCAGUGGGGAAUUUUGGACAAUGGGCGCAAGCCUGAUCCAGCAAUGCCGCGUGCAGGAAGAAGGCCUUCGGGUUGUAAACUGCUUUUGUACGGAACGAAACGGCUCUGGUUAAUACCCGGGGCUAAUGACGGUACCGUAAGAAUAAGCACCGGCUAACUACGUG